UACGUAGGGUGCAAGCGUUGUCCGGAAUUAUUGGGCGUAAAGAGCUCGUAGGCGGUGUGUCACGUCGGCCGUGAAAACCUGCAGCUUAACUGUGGGCUUGCGGUCGAUACGGGCAUCACUGGAGUUCGGCAGGGGAGACUGGAAUUCCUGGUGUAGCGGUGAAAUGCGCAGAUAUCAGGAGGAACACCGGUGGCGAAGGCGGGUCUCUGGGCCGUAACUGACGCUGAGGAGCGAAAGCAUGGGGAGCGAACAGG
rnacentral:rRNA from 1 species